AGAGGCCUAGCGCCCAGUGCGCACGCGCACUUGUGUAAAAAGCGAGGACGUGACCGUUUUGGAAGCAUUGUUCUUUUCACCGUUAGUGAGGAGCGGUCAAGGAUGCGUAUUAAGAAAUUACUCUUAGAAGAAAGGAAGCAUUGAGAGUAAGGAACAAAUGCCAAUGAUGACAACCCAAACACUAUGCCUCAUCAGAGCACAAAGUUCCAAGUGACUUCAAAGGGUUUUCUGUACUCGGAGCAGCUCUAUGGGACAUGGAAGACGAGAAAUGAACCGACACCAGAGGUGCAAUGAAAGGUAAAACUCAUAGCAUCACCACAGCUCUUAGGCAAGGAAUACAUUGUUUUGCACCUCUCUCCACAUCACUGCCAUGUCACUCCAGUAUUAGGAAUGAGCUUUAAUGAGAAAACAAGAGAAGGCAACCCAUCAGACAGAAAAAGCAAAAGAAGGAGAACAGACACAAAUAAGACUGCUGUUAGGAGAAGAAUAUUUUCAAUAGAAGUAACAGUUUCAAUUUAACUUCAAAAAUUGUAUUUUAAACAAAAGCAAUAAACAUUUUACAUCUGUGGCUUGAUGAUCACAUUUGAGAAGUUCACAACCAGUAUUUCUUCAGUUACCAUUCUUCCCUAUUAUUUCCCUUCUCUCUAUUGCAAAUUCACUUAGAUGAAUGACAGACCAUUAGCUCUUUUGUUCUUUUCUUUAUUUUCCUGGAUAUUUCUCUACUAUCUUCUACCUUGCUUGUCUUCUGUUUGUUAUGCUACUUUUAAUUUACUCACUAAAUGUUUAAUUUCAGUUAGCUGUGUUUCUCAGACUUAGCAUUUCCAAGAUUUUCUAUUUUUAGGGAUUCCAGUUUUCUGGUAUGAAUCUUCAGUUUUUCCAUUUUCUCUGGAAUAUAUUAAUCACAGUAAUUUAAAAAUUUGUGUCUAGAAUUCUUAUACCUCCAUCAUCUCUGCCUUUGUUUCUUUUGUCUGAUUUUCUUUCUUUUUAAUUUCUAUCAUUUCUAUUCUACCUUCUGGUAUUCCUGGAAAUAUAUUUUACAUUUUGAAGAAAGAUAAACUUUUCCUGGUCUAAAUAGGGAUAGGAUAUUUCAGUCUUUGUGAAGGUUAGCCAAUUUCCUAUUGGCUUUUCGUUAGGCAGUCCUACGGUAUGCCUCUUUUCCUAACACACUUGCUAAGAAACUCCUUUCUGCAAUCAAAAUGUUGGGUUGAAACAAGAGUCAGCACACUUUUCCUUUGAAUGGCCAAAUGAUUAAUAUUUUAGGCUUUGUAGGUCAGACAGCACAUACAUAAAUGGCUGUGUCUUUGUUCCAAUGAAACUUUAUUUACAAAAACAGGUGUUGGGAUGAAUUUAAUUUGAGUAUCCCAAAUUGCUAAUACCUAAUUUAGAUCCUGAAUAUGUGUUCCCUCAAUUUCUUAGCCUUUUCCCUAUGACUGUAUGAAAUUGCUAAUGCCUCAAGGAUAAAAACAGCACAGAAAGGCAAGCUCAUUUUUCUGCAGUUCCCUUUUCCACAGGAUCUUUCUCUUUUAGUAUUAACAUAAUUUGUAGGCUUGCAUUGAAAGUUUUUAGCCCCCUAACCCCAUGAGACCACCAUAAAUUCUGAACCACAGUUUCUGCUUGUUUGCUAAGUUUUCUAUUGUUAUUAAUCAACAAAUAUUUGGAAGGAAAAGUGGCAGAGAAUGUCUGGCUCAUGUCAGUACUUUUCUCUUCAUGAUGUUGGCCCUAUAAAAUUCAGGCUUUCUUAACUGCACUCUAUCACAUUUAAUGAGCAGUCUUUGGCAUUUCUUACAGUGGUUUUAUUUCUUCUUGAAAGGAUAAGUUGGUCUAAUACAAGUAAUCUGUCAUAAAUGGAAACAGAAGUACCCAAAGGGAAAAUUAAAAUGCAAUUUGUAGCAUCUUGAGUAAGUCAACAAAAUAUAGAAGUGAAAAACUAUAAUAACAAUGAAAUAUAUAAAAGCAAGCACUGCAUAAGAAAAUAGAUCAAGUAUAUCUAGUGUUAUGCUAUAUUUUGAAAACUGCUUAAUCUUAAUGCAAAAGAAAAUAUGAAUAAUAGAAUGACAUGCUGUGCUUUUGAUAGGAAGAUUAAUACAAUAAAAUUGUCAGUUCUUUCUGAAUUAUAUUAUACAUUUAAUGUAAUUUCCAUUGGAAUCACAUGUGUUAUUUCUUUGGUUAGGUAAAAAGAUCUCAAAUUCCAUUUGAAAAAUAAAUGCCUGAGAAUACCCAGGUCACUUAUAACAAAGUAGAAUAGUUACAGAAUAAUAGACUUAUAGUAAAACAAUGCAAAACCACCAGAAUUUUAAAUUGCCAUUGCUAUAAGAAUAAAAUAAUCCAAGAGUGAAACAAAUGGAUUCUAGUGCAUGCAUAGUUAAAAUUUUUAUGUUUCACAGUCGUGUAUUUUAAUUUUGUGGAAACAUGACUGAUUUAACAAAUAUGUUGACCAAAAUAGCAUUCCAAGUGGGAGAAAGUACAGAUGAUUAAGCCAUGCUACUUAAACAAACACAUUUUACAUAAAUGUAAAUUAAGGGUAAAAACUAAGAAUGUUAAAAUAAGAUGUAAGAGAUUAAACAAACAUACUAUUAGUUGGAAAAAGAUUAUAACCAUGUCAAGAAACCUAGAAACUAUGAAAAACAUAAAGGUAGACAUAUUUAACUAUAUAAAGUUUUGUUUUUUAUAGAUGGCUUCAUGCUAUGUUGCCGUGGCUGCUCUCAAACUUCUGGGCUCAAGCAGUCCUCCAGACUUAGCCUCCCCAAGAGCUAGGUUUACAGGUGUGAGCCACCACAGCCUGACCUAAAGUUUUAAACAUAUGCUGAUUCACAAAAUACAGUAUAAACAAAGUUAAUAUACCUAUUAUUGAUUAGAAUUAAUAUUUGCAACUAAGUUAAUAACUAUAAGACUGCAAGGCCAUACAUUCUGAAAACUUAAAGCAAAAAAUAGUUUAUUGUUAUUACAUUUCAAUAAAUAAUAUGUUCAAUAUGUUUUUCUCUCAGCAACAACUAAUGUUGACAGAGCAAAAAAGACAUUACAAUAUAUUGCUAGUGGAAAUGUACAUUUUACAGUACUUGGAAAUCUCUUAGGUGAAAUGCAUUAAAAUGUAAAUGUGUAUAUUUAACGUGUCUUCUGUGAAUAUAUCCUAUGGAAAUACAAGCCUCAAUCAUAUAGCUACAAGGAUGUUACUUGCAACUGGAUUGUGGAAAACAUAAAAUAAGGUAAAUAUUAAUCUAUAAGAAAAUGAUUAAAUAAAAUAUGGAAUAUUUAACUAUGGAAAAUAUGAAGAUAUUAAAAAGAAUCCUCACUCAGAAGUUUUCUCUUUUUGAUCUAUUAAGUAAAAACCAUAAGAUACUGAGCAGAGAGUAUAUAUAAUAUGAUCACAUUUUUAAAAAGCAAAUAAAUAUAUUAAAAAUAUACUUACAUCUCUAAAUAUACUAUUUUAUAUAAUUUUCUUAGUGUGGAAAAACAAUGGGGGUGAAUAUAUAUUAGUUUUUUUGCAUGCAGUUGGGACAAGGAGACAUGGCCCAGAAAGGGGAAAUGCUUAAUUUACUUAGCCCUUACAGACAAAGCUCACCAAUAAAGUCCAAGUUUUAAGAGAUUUUAGAAAGUAAAAUUCUAAAUAGCUUGAAAGAAGAUAGGUAAGAAAUCUUCACACACUCAUAGGUACAAGUUUAUCUGGACACACAAAAGAAGAUCUUCAGUGGUAGCAGAAUUAGUCCCUUAACCACACUUCUUUUAAACACUUCUUUACAGCCUUGCUUUUCGAAGUGUGACUUCUGUACUAGCAGCAUUGACAUCACCUGGGAACGUGUUAGAGAGUCAUAUAUCUGGUACAUCCCAGAAUUAUUGUUCAGAAUCUCCAUUUUUACCAAGCUCCCCAAAUAAUUGGUAUGUACAUUAACGUCUGAGGAGCAAUGCCUUAGUGGAUGACAGAUGGACUAAAGUGAGAAGAAUGUAUUUUUCCUAUUUAAGUAUCUAUAAGCAUGCAUAGAAAUGUGUGACAAGUUCUUAUUUUUAAAAAUUUUUAUAAUGGACAAAGUUCAUUUUAAUGAAGACAAUACAAUGAAUAAAGCAAAAAUAACUCUUGAGAUUUUGGUGAGAAACUCACAAAUAAUUCAUUGUUAGAUUACUUAUCAUUGAAACUAUUGGAGUCUUAGUUAUCUCAACUACAGAUUGGAAUCUUAAUGAAGUAAACCUGUUUCAUUAGACUGUCCUCAUAACAAAAAGUGUAUGCAAAAUAAUUGAAAUAUUGAAAAGCAUUACAUAAAUAUAAAUGAAUUGUUUUCAUUGGGGUUCUUAUUAAAUGCACAGAAAUCUUUUCCUUUUUCUUUCAGUGUUUUUUCAAAUUGAAAUUUCAAAGAAGGUCAUGGAAAAAUUUUAGUCAAUCAGGAAAACUAAAGGCAUAAAAUAUUAUGUACCUACUUAUUGACACAUAUUUAACGAAUUCUUAAAAUUUUGCCUUCAAUUCUGUUUCUCUGUUUGCCCUCAAAUCUAGUUUUUAUGAUUUGCACUAACCUAAAUCUCUGUUUUAUAAACAUUCUGUAAUUUUUAUAAUCUAAAAAAUGCAUGAAUACUAAAUGAAAUAUAACAUUAUAAACUGAGUUAUUUCAACAGAAAUAAUAUAUCUAAAAGAUAAAAUAAUAUGAUCUAUGAUCACAAGAAUUUGUAAACUGCAGUUAGAAAUUUAAACCUUUCUACCAGUUUUCAUCAAGAGAUUCCACCUUCAAAUCUAGAGAAAUAUUUAGAAGGUUGCUGAAGACUCAGGUAUUUUAUUUUUUUAAUGAAAAAGAAGAGCAUUUUCUUCUUUUUGGGAAGAGAAAGGAAGUACAUACAGUGUCUUAUAGGAAAUAUGCAAAAACACUCAAAAAUAUAAUAUUUUCAUUAAAACAAACUACUUCCAAUAUCAUAUUACUAAAAACAUCUACUCACUAAAAUACAAGCCCCAUGAAAACAAGUGUUCUCAGUUUUGUUUACUGCUAGAACCCUAAUCUUAGAACAUUGCCUGCCAUAAAGCAUAGAAAUUUAUGCUUUGGCAAUUAAAUAUUUUCCAAAUAUUGACUUUUUCAAAUAAUUUUAGCACAAUGAUUUUUCAACUCAUAUUUCAGAAAGUAGAGAUUUACCUCUCCUUGUGUAAGUUCUCAUAUUUUUAAGCUACAUGUAAUUAAAUCAUAUUAAAAUUGAGACAGUGCAAUAUUUCCAAGCUAUAUCUUACAGGAACUAAUAUCCAGAAUGUGCAAGGAACUUAACGAAGUAAGAAAACAAACAAAAAAUGAAUAAUCCCAUUAAAAAGUGGACUAAGGACAUAAAUAGACACUUUUCAAAAGAAGACAAAAAAUGGACAACAAGCAUAUGAAAAAAUGCUAAUCGCUAAUCAUCAGAUAAAUGCAAAUUAAAACCAUAAUGAGAUAUCAUCUUAGUCAGAAUGGCUAUUAUUAAAAGGACAAAAAUAACAUGUUGGUUAACAUGUGGAGAAAAGAGAAUGCUUAUACUAUUUGGGAAUGUAAAUUUGUGCAACCUUUGUGGAAAAUAGUAUGGAGAUUUCUCAAAGAACUAAAAGGAGAAUUAUCAUUUGACCCAGCAAGUACUCAAAUGAAAAGAAGUAAUUAUAUCAAAAGAUAUCUGAACUCGUAUGUUUAUCAUAGCAAUAUUCACAAUGGCAAAGGUAUGGAAUCAAUCUAAGUGUCCAUCAAUGGCAGAUUGGAUAAAGAAACUGUCAUAUAUGUGUGUAUAUAUAUACGUAUGUAUAUACAGGAUUACACACACACGCAUGCACACACACACACACUGGACACUAUUCAGCCAUAAAAAGAAGGAAAUCAUGUCUUUUGCAGCAACAUGAAUGGAACUGGAGGCCAUUAUCUUAAGUGAAACAACUCAGAAACAGAAAGACAAUACCAUAUUAUCUCAUUUAUAAGUGGGAGAUAAAUAAUGUGAACAGAGGCCUGGCAUGUUGGCUCACUCCUGUAAUCCCAGCACUUUGGGAGGCCAAGGCGGGUGGAUCACGAGGUCAAGAGAUUAAGACCAUUCUGGCCAACAUGAUGAAACUACGUCUCUACUAAAAAUACAAAAAAUUAGCCAGACGUGGUGGCGGGGGCCUGUAGUCCCAGCUAUUUGGGAGGCUGAGGCAGGAGAAUCACUUGAACCCAGGAGGCGGAGGUGGCAGUGAGCCGAGAUUGCGCCACUGCACUCCAGCCUGGCGACAGAGUAAGACCCCAUCUCUAAAUAAAUAAAUAAACAAAUAAAUAAAUAACGUGAACAUAGAUUGUGGAAUGAGAGGCAGCAGAUGCUGGGAAGUGGGGAAGGGUUGAGGAACGGGUAGGGGGUGGAUGACGGAGAAUUUCUUAAAGAGCACAAAGUAAGUUAUUCGGGUGAUAUAGGCACUAAAAGCCCUGAUUUCCCCACUAUGCAAUAUAUUCAUAUAAUGUAGCAAAAUUACACUUAUACCCGUUAAAUGAAUACAAAUAAAAAUCAAAAAUAAGUUUAAAAAUUUGAGAGUGCACUUCUUAAAGAAUAUGCACCAAUAGUUUCUGUAAGUUAAGAAUAUUUUGUGAAGGCCAGGCGUGGUGACUCACACCUGUAAUUCCACCACUUUGGGAGGCUGAAACGGGCAGAUCACGAGGUCAGGAGUUUGAGACCAGCCUGGCCAAUAUGGUGAAACCCUGUCUCUAUUAAAAUUACAAAAAUUAGCUGCGGGUGGUGGUGUGUGCCUGUAAUCCCAGCUACACAGGAGGCUGAGGCGGGAGAAUCACUUGAACCUGGGAGGCGGAGGUUACAGUGAGCCGAGAACGUGCCACUGCACUCCAGCCUGGGUGACAGAGCGAGACUCCAUCUC